rnacentral:rRNA from 1 species
GACGAACGCUGGCGGCGUGCUUAACACAUGCAAGUCGAACGAUGAAGCCUAGCUUGCUAGGUGGAUUAGUGGCGAACGGGUGAGUAAUACGUGAGUGACCUACCUUUGACUCUGGGAUAAGCCUGGGAAACUGGGUCUAAUACCGGAUACGACCAAUCUCUGCAUGGGGUGUUGGUGGAAAGCGUUAUGGAGUGGUUUUAGAUGGGCUCACGGCCUAUCAGCUUGUUGGUGAGGUAAUGGCUUACCAAGGCGACGACGGGUAGCCGGCCUGAGAGGGUGACCGGCCACACUGGGACUGAGACACGGCCCAGACUCCUACGGGAGGCAGCAGUGGGGAAUAUUGCACAAUGGGCGCAAGCCUGAUGCAGCGACGCCGCGUGAGGGAUGACGGCCUUCGGGUUGUAAACCUCUGUUAGCAUCGAAGAAGCGAAAGUGACGGUAGGUGCAGAGAAAGCGCCGGCUAACUACGUGCCAGCAGCCGCGGUAAUACGUAGGGCGCGAGCGUUGUCCGGAAUUAUUGGGCGUAAAGAGCUUGUAGGCGGUUGGUCGCGUCUGCUGUGAAGGCCGGGGCUUAACUCCGGUUUUGCAGUGGGUACGGGCUAACUAGAGUGCAGUAGGGGAGACUGGAAUUCCUGGUGUAGCGGUGGAAUGCACAGAUAUCAGGAGGAACACCGAUGGCGAAGGCAGGUCUCUGGGCUGUAACUGACGCUGAGAAGCGAAAGCAUGGGGAGCGAACAGGAUUAGAUACCCUGGUAGUCCAUGCCGUAAACGUUGGGCACUAGGUGUGGGGGACAUUCCACGUUUUCCGCGCCGUAGCUAACGCAUUAAGUGCCCCGCCUGGGGAGUACGGCCGCAAGGCUAAAACUCAAAGGAAUUGACGGGGGCCCGCACAAGCGGCGGAGCAUGCGGAUUAAUUCGAUGCAACGCGAAGAACCUUACCAAGGCUUGACAUGCAUUAGAUCGCGUCAGAGAUGGCGUUUCCCUUCGGGGCUGGUGUACAGGUGGUGCAUGGUUGUCGUCAGCUCGUGUCGUGAGAUGUUGGGUUAAGUCCCGCAACGAGCGCAACCCUCGUUCUAUGUUGCCAGCGGUUCGGCCGGGGACUCAUAGGAGACUGCCGGGGUCAACUCGGAGGAAGGUGGGGAUGACGUCAAAUCAUCAUGCCCCUUAUGUCUUGGGCUUCACGCAUGCUACAAUGGCCGGUACAGAGGGUUGCGAUACUGUGAGGUGGAGCUAAUCCCUUAAAGCCGGUCUCAGUUCGGAUUGGGGUCUGCAACUCGACCCCAUGAAGUCGGAGUCGCUAGUAAUCGCAGAUCAGCAACGCUGCGGUGAAUACGUUCCCGGGCCU